CCUACGGGCGGCAGCAGUGGGGGAUAUUGCACAAUGGGGGGACCCCUGAUGCAGCGACGCCGCGUGGGUGAAGAAGCGCCUCGGCGCGUAAAGCCCUGUCAGCAGGGACGAAAAUUACGGUACCUGAAGCAGAAGCCCCGGCUAACUACGUGCCAGCAGCCGCUGUAAGACGUAGGGGGCAAGCAUUAUCCGGAUAUACUGGGUGUAAAGUGGGCGCAGACGGCGAUGCAAGCCAGGAGUGAAAGCCCGGGGCCCAACCCCGGGACUGCUCUUGGAACUGCGUGGCUGGAGUGCAGGAGGGGCAGGCGGAAUUCCUGGUGUAGCGGUGAAGUGCGUAGAUAUCAGGAGGAGCACCGGUGGCGAAGGCGGCCUGCUGGACUGUAACUGACGUUGAGGCCCGAAAGCGUGGGGAGCAAACAGGAUUAGAUACCCCUGUAGUC
rnacentral:rRNA from 1 species